rnacentral:rRNA from 2 species
GGGUUCCAUGUGAACAGCAGUUGAACAUGGGUCAGUCGGUCNUAAGAGAUAGGAGAACUCCGUUCCGAAACGGGGGCAAUGCCGCCUAACACGAACAGAAAGCAUGCCCGUCUAUCAUCGAAAGGGAAUCGGGUUAAUAUUCCCGAACCCGGACACGGAGAUUGGCCCUCGCGGGUCACGUGCGGCAACGCAAACGAACUGGGAGACGUCGGCGGGAGUCCCGGGAAGAGUUCUCUUUUCUUUGUAAGGAGCGGACUCCCUGGAAUCGGCUUGCCCGGAGAUAGGGACGUGGUUUCCGUAAAGCACCGCGGCUCUUGCGGUGUCCGGUGCACUCCCGUCGGCCCUUGAAAAUCCCAGGGAGACAGUGUGAUUUUCGUGCCGGACCGUACCCAUAUCCGCAGCAGGUCUCCAAGGUGCACAGCCUCUAGUCGAUAGAACA